rnacentral:lncRNA from 10 species
AGACAUCGCCUUCUUACAAUGCAGAACAGACGAUGCACUGUCUCAGGUCACGCUUAGCCUCCUACGGGGGCACGACAGAAGAAGAGGAACAUUUAGAGAGGCACAGCUCCUACAUCCUUGGAUGGGGAGAGUGGGGAGCAAACAGGCCAGUUCACACUUCUUUCCUCUGUGAAGCCUUCCUUCUCCCAGCAUUCCCUCCCCUCACCCUACUGUGUUGUGGCCACCACUCUGCCUGGGACUACAGCCAUUUGUCCUUCUGCCUCUCCUCUGCCUGAGAGCAAGCCAUGUGCAGUGGGUAAGUACAUCAGCAAGCAAACUGGCCUCAAGAAUCCCGCCCUAUCCUGGGCAUCUGGGGUUGAGGCUGGCUGUGCCAACCUUUGCACAGGGUUUCAAUCUGACCUCACUCAGAAAACGGAGCCACUUGCUUAGAGUCCCUCUCUCUGAACACGCUCUCCCCUCUGGAGGAAAAGCAUUGCAAUCCCAAGCUCCUGCUGCUGCCGUACAUCUGCAUCUUAUUCAUCUUUGAAGCUCCUGCAAUGCCUCCAACGGGGACACAACUAAAGGAAGCUCUCAGAACGCCCAGCUAUCCCCACUGCAGAAGGCUCUCCCUGAAAGGGCACAGGUGGAGGACGUUUGCAUUUAUCUGGAGACAGUUCAUGGAGAAACACAAAGAGGUGUCCUGACAAGACAACAGGUCCACAGCAGUCGUCAUCAUGAGUGCUCACCAUAUGCCAGGGUUCAUCUUUUAAAAUCCUUAACCAAACAACCAAACUGUGGUUGGGAUUAUUCUCUUUUUAUAGGUGAGAAAACUGAGGCUGAAAGCCAUUGGGUGGUUUGCCAAAGCUGAGAAGUAGCUGAGCUGGGGUUUGUACUCACACCACGGUGACUCGGAGGCCCAAGCCAGUUCUGACACACUGCCUUCCCAUGACAUUCCCACGACAGGUUCCCGAGGUCGUUGGAAUGCUUACACAUUUCAGCAACUUCAUGGCAACUGCCCAGCUCGACCCAGAAGAUAAUACUACCUUGUACUCCCCCUGCCGCUUCCUUCCUCCAGGCAGCUCACAGACAUGACCUCAUUCCCUCUCCCAGAGUCCCAUAGGGGUGAAGGACAGGGUGGGGAUCGUUAACUCUGCUUCCUAGGGAGGAAAGGGAGGCCCAGAGAGGGAUGCUGGCCCACCCUGGGUCAUCCAGCCAGCUAGCGGGAGAGCUGCAACUGGAAAUCAGGCUUCCCUGCCCUCGGGGACAGUUAUUUAGCCUCCUGGAUGUGAGCUAGAAUCACCCCUAAGAUGCAGCAAUUGGGGUACUCCUCUUGGGGUACUGGGACUCAGUGGCUGAAACAGCUCCAAGAGAGUUGGGCCUGUGCUGAAAACAGAAAUCCGAGAUGCAUAUAAAUUCAAUCCGUAUGAGAAGAGCAGGGUGGCCUGGGAGGAGUGGUCACCGCAGUGGCUCCACCUCCUACCCGGCCACCUGCAGCCCUGCCUGGGCUGCUCUUGGUCUCUCUGUGCCCAGCUUCCCUGGCCGGAUGCCCUGGGGGCCAGAGCAGCCGCAGGUGCGAUGAAAAGAACACUGGCCUUGAGGUCAUGGGACCUGGGGAGGAUAUUCACCAGGGGCCCCUAAGUUAGUCAUUUUAGCUCUCAGCUUUUCCAUUUUUCAUUCAAAAAAUGGGGACUCUAACUCCAUGAAAGAGACAUUGUGUGUGAAAUAUUUCAUCAUAAGCUGUGAAGCCUGCAAAGAAACUCCUGGUGUUCUCUGUAGCCUGAUUUCAUCUCUACUAAACGCUAUUUUGAAAAUGAUUUUGAAGCUGGUGGGUCACAUAGAAGGAUGGCCUGAGCAUCCAUCCAUCUUCCCUCCGGUGACCCUUUCACUUCGUGUCUGUGGUACCCAGUGCCUGGUACUGAAUGUUCCUGGGUGGCCCCGUGGUUCGGCAAACUUUCUGGAAAGGCCCAGGUAGUAAAUAUUUGAGGCCUGGUGGGCCACAUAUGGUUUUGGUCACAUGUUCUUUGUUUGUUUCUUUUCUUAUAACCCUUUGAAAAUGCAAAAACCUUUCUCAGCUCACAGGCCCUACAAAAAUAGGUUGAUUUGGCCUGUGGGCUGUCGUUUGCAGGGGGCCGGUUUACCUGGUAGAAAGUGGGUGGGUGGGAGUUUGGAAAUGGACAGAAAAGCCCGCAGCCCAGUUUUGCACUUGCCUGGCUGUAUGCUGUUAGGCCACUCACUUGGCCUGCCCCGGAGUUAGUUUAAUGGUCUGCCCUAUGAUUCUAAUGAUGCCUACUUCAGGGGCUAUCAUGAGAAUAACAUGUACCCCAUAGCAGGCUCUCAGCAGAUGGGAGCUGAUGUCAUUGCUUCUGUCCAACAAGCAUGAGAAUGCAGGGUCCAGGGGUGGCCCACCCUGUCCGCAGUAUGGUGGGGUGGACAGCGCUUUCCUAGGGCUUGGGAUAUUUUAUCAGGGAGCCAAUGCCUUGCCUUGGAAGGGAGAGGCCCCCAGGCUGGGGUUUCAUGACAGAAAGAGGAGUGAAGUCCGGGGCUUAUGUCAGGAGCUGGUCAGUGCACACUGGCAGAGCAUGGAGAAGUGGAA